UACAGAGGUGGCAAGCGUUGUUCGGAAUUACUGGGCGUAAAGGGCGCGUAGGCGGCCUACUAAGUCAGACGUGAAAUCCCCCGGCUUAACCUGGGAACUGCGUCGGAUACUGGAUGGCUUGAAUUCGGGAGAGGGAUGCAGAAUUCCAGGUGUAGCGGUGAAAUGCGUAGAUAUCUGGAGGAAUACCGGUGGCGAAGGCGGCAUCCUGGACCGACAUUGACGCUGAGGAGCGAAAGCUAGGGGAGCAAACGGG
rnacentral:rRNA from 1 species